rnacentral:rRNA from 1 species
GACGAACGCUGGCGGCGUGCUUAACACAUGCAAGUCGAACGGAAAGGCCCUGCUUUUGUGGGGUGGUCGAUUGGCGAACGGGGGAGUAUCACGUGAGUAACCUGCCCUUGACUUUUGGAUAACUUCAGGAAACUGGGGCUAAUAUCGGAUAGGAUCUCCUGCUGCAUGGGGGGGUUUGGAAAGUUUCGGCGGUUGGGGUUUGACUCGCGGCUUAUAAGCUUGUUGGUGGGGUAGUGACUUACCAAGGCUGUGAGGGGUACCCUACAUGAGAGGGUGACCGGCGACAAUGCGACUGGGAAAGGGAGCAGACUGCUAUGGGCGGCAGCAGUGGGGAAUCUUGCACAGUGGGAGGAAGCGUGAUGCAGAAACGCUGCGUGCGGGAUGAACGGCUACGGGUUGUAAACCGAUUUCGACUGUGCUGAAGAGUGAGUGACGGUAAUGGGUCAAGAAGCCACGGCUAACUACGUG